rnacentral:rRNA from 1 species
UGGGGAAUAUUGCACAAUGGGCGCAAGCCUGAUGCAGCCAUGCCGCGUGUAUGAAGAAGGCCUUCGGGUUGUAAAGUACUUUCAGCGAGGAGGAAGGCAGCAUGCUUAAUACGUAUGCUGAUUGACGUUACUCGCAGAAGAAGCACCGGCUAACUCCGUGCCAGCAGCCGCGGUAAUACGGAGGGUGCAAGCGUUAAUCGGAAUUACUGGGCGUAAAGCGCACGCAGGCGGUUUGUCAAGUCGGAUGUGAAAUCCCCGGGC